AGAGCAUCGGGUGGAUGCCUUGGCACUGGGAGCCGAAGAAGGACGUGAUAAGCUGCGAUAAGCUGCGGUAAGGAGCACAUAUCCGAUAUACCCGCAGAUUUCCGAAUGGGGGAACCCACAUACGGUAAUGCGUAUGUAUCAUUAAGUGAAUACAUAGCUUAAUGAAGGGAACGGGGUGAACUGAAACAUCUAAGUAGCCCUAGGAAGAGAAAGAAAAAUCGAUUUCCUGAGUAGCGGCGAGCGAAAGGGAAAGAGGCCAAACCAAAUUGUUUACAGUUUGGGGUUGUGGACCACCGACAUUGACGAAGUUAUGCGAGCCGAAUAGGGUUGGAAAGCUCAAGCAGAGAAGGUAAUACUCCUGUAGGCGAAGCAGAAAGCGCAUAGGUGGCACCAGAGUAGGACCGGACACGUGUAACCUGGUCUGAAGCAGGAGGGACCACCCUCCAAGCCUAAAUACUACCCAGUGACCGAUAGCGAAUAGUACCGUGAGGGAAAGGUGAAAAGAACCCCGGGAGGGGAGUGAAAUAGAAUCUGAAACCUGAUGCUUACAAGCAUAGGGAGCGCAAGUGACCUAGUACUUUUUGUAGAACGGGCCAACGAGUUAUGGUAUGUAGCGAGGUUAAGUUGCUGGAGCAACGGAGCCGUAGAGAAAUCGAGUCUGAAUAGGGCGAGAGUUACAUGCUGUAGACCCGAAACCGGGUGACCUAUCCAUGAGCAGGUUGAAGUAACCGUAAAAGGUUAUGGAGGACCGAACCUAUAUCUGUUGAAAAAGGUUAGGAUGACUUGUGGAUAGCGGUGAAAUUCCAAUCGAACUCGGAUAUAGCUGGUUCUCCUCGAAAUAGCUUUAGGGCUAGCCUCAAGGUAAAGAUACACGGGGGUAGAGCACUGACUGUUCGCGGGGCCUUCACCGGUUACCAACAACUAUCAAACUCCGAAUACCGUGCUAUCAUACUUGGGAGUCAGACUAUGAGAGAUAAGUUCCAUGGUCGAAAGGGAAACAGCCCAGAUCAACAGCUAAGGUCCCAAAGAGUAAGUUAAGUGGAAAAGGAUGUGGGAUUGCACAAACAGCUAGGAUGUUGGCUUAGAAGCAGCCAUACAUUUAAAGAGUGCGUAAUAGCUCACUAGUCGAGUGAUCCUGCGCCGAAGAUAAACGGGGCUCAAACUUACCACCGAAGCUUUGGAAUUAGUAUAACUAAUUGGUAGAGGAGCAUUCUAUACAGGUAGAAGGAGGCGCGUAAGCAAAUCUGGACGGUAUAGAAGAGAGAAUGUUGGCAUGAGUAGCGUAAGGCGGGUGAGAAUCCCGUCCGCCGAAAAUCUAAGGUUUCCUGAGGAAGGUUCGUCCUCUCAGGGUAAGUCGGGACCUAAGCCGAGAGCGAACGCUGUAGGCGAUGGACAACAGGUUGAUAUUCCUGUACCACCAAGGAUUGUUUGAAUGAAGUGGGGACACAGAAGGAUAGAUUGAGCACGCCGUUGGUUGAGCGUGUCCAAGCAGUAAGGCUUGAAAGUAGGCAAAUCCGCUUUCUACAAGGCUGAGCUGUGAUGGGGUGGUCGAAUGACCGGUAGCAAUCGAUUUCACGCUGUCAAGAAAAGCCGCUAAUGAGAUCCAAGGUGCCCGUACCGCAAACCGACACAGGUAGAUGAGGAGAGAAUCCUAAGGUGAGCGAGCGAACUAUUGUUAAGGAACUCGGCAAAAUAACCCCGUAACUUCGGGAGAAGGGGUGCCUGCUUCGGCAGGCCGCAGUGAAGAGGUCCAGGCAACUGUUUACCAAAAACACAGGUCUCUGCUAAAGCGAAAGCUGAUGUAUAGGGGCUGACGCCUGCCCGGUGCUGGAAGGUUAAGGGGAAGUGUUAGGGCAACCGAAGCACAGAACUUAAGCCCCAGUAAACGGCGGCCGUAACUAUAACGGUCCUAAGGUAGCGAAAUUCCUUGUCGGGUAAGUUCCGACCCGCACGAAAGGCGUAAUGAUCUGGACACUGUCUCAACAAUAGGCUCGGUGAAAUUGUAGUACCGGUAAAGAUGCCGGUUACCCGCAGCAGGACGGAAAGACCCCGUGGAGCUUCACUGUAGCUUGAUAUUGAUUUUCGGCAUUGCAUGUACAGGAUAGGUGGGAGACGUUGAGUUCAGCACGCCAGUGUUGGAGGAGUCACCGUUGGGAUACCACCCUUGUAAUGUUGGAAAUCUAACCUAGUACCGUGAUCCGGUACAGGGACAGUGUCAGGUGGGCAGUUUGACUGGGGCGGUCGCCUCCUAAAGAGUAACGGAGGCGCCCAAAGG
rnacentral:rRNA from 1 species